rnacentral:rRNA from 1 species
AAAUUGAAGAGUUUGAUCAUGGCUCAGAUUGAACGCUGGCGGCAGGCCUAACACAUGCAAGUCGAACGGUAACACAGAGGAGCUUGCUCCUUGGGUGACGAGUGGCGGACGGGUGAGUAAUGUCUGGGAAACUGCCUGAUGGAGGGGGAUAACUACUGGAAACGGUAGCUAAUACCGCAUAACGUCGCAAGACCAAAGAGGGGGACCUUCGGGCCUC